GGUGUACAAAUAAAGAAGCCCAUUGAAGUUUCUGCGCCAAAGUAUGUCGAAUAUCUGAUGGACUGGAUUGAAGCCCAACUUGAUGAGGAGUCUAUAUUUCCACAAAAGCUAGGGACACCAUUUCCUCCAAACUUCAGGGAAGUCGUGAAGACAAUUUUUAAACGUUUAUUCCGUGUUUAUGCGCAUAUAUACCACUCACAUUUUCAGAAGAUCGUGAGUUUGAAGGAAGAAGCCCAUCUGAAUACAUGCUUCAAGCAUUUCAUUCUGUUUACAUAUGAAUUUGGGUUGAUUGACAAGAAGGAACUUGCCCCACUUCAGGAGCUUAUAGAAUCAAUCAUUGUACCCUAUUAAAGCUCGACACUUGUAUAUGUAUGUGUGCG
rnacentral:misc_RNA from 1 species